rnacentral:rRNA from 1 species
AAAACAUCGCCUCCUGCUCUAAUAUAGGAGGUCCAGCCUGCCCAGUGACUCUUGUUUAACGGCCGCGGUAUCCUAACCGUGCGAAGGUAGCGUAAUCACUUGUUUUUUAAAUAGAGACUAGUAUGAAAGGCACCACGAGGGCCAAACUGUCUCCUUUUUCUCAUCAGUGAAACUAAUUUCCCCAUGAAGAAACGGGGAUUCCCUUAUAAGACGAGAAGACCCUAUGGAGCUUUAAACUUUACAGCACUUGCACCUCCACAAUCUCACUUUCAGAAAUCUACCUCAUCACCAACAUACUGCCUUACAGUUUUCGGUUGGGGCGACCACGGAGUAAAAAUUACCCUCCGUAAUGUAAAGACUUCAUCUUUAGUAAAAAGCCACAGCUUUAUACAACAGUAAACUGACAUGCAUUGACCCAAAAUAUUGACCAACGAACCAAGUUACCCUAGGGAUAACAGCGCCAUCCACUUUGAGAGUUCCUAUCGACAAGUGGGCUUACGACCUCGAUGUUGGAUCAGGGUAUCCUAGUGGUGCAGCCGCUACUAAUGGUUCGUUUGUUCAACGAUUAAAACCCUACGUGAUCU